UACGGAGGGUGCGAGCGUUGUUCGGAAUCACUGGGCGUAAAGGGCGUGUAGGCGGUUCGUUAAGUCUGAUGUGAAAGCCCGGGGCUCACCCCCGGAAGUGCAUUGGAAACUGGCGGACUCGAGUCCCGGAGAGGAGGGUGGAAUUCCUGGUGUAGCGGUGAAAUGCGUAGAUAUCAGGAGGAACACCGGUGGCGAAGGCGGCCCUCUGGACGGUGACUGACGCUAAGACGCGAAAGCGUGGGGAGCAAACAGG
rnacentral:rRNA from 1 species